UAACACAAACACUCCCAACUAGGGUGCAACACUACCAAUCCCACAGCUCCAAAUUAAAUCAACAUGUUUACGGCUAAUAUGACAUCAUCUAAGAAGACCCCUACCAAGAACCCACCAACGAGCCAUACUGAAGGUCCCAUCAAGCUGCGGUACCGGUACCCGAAUUAAGCGGCUUCCCUCUGCCCACAUUGAAUCCCCUGGUACCAUCUGGCAUGCGAGGGCCAGGAGGCUGCUUGGCAACUCCUGUCUGCUCAGUGUGAUGACCAGGAGUCGUAGCACCGAUUACAGAUCCUCCAUUGCCCCGGCUAUUAUGGUAUUGGCCACGCCCUCGCCCCCUUGCUCCACGGCCACGCCCUCGCCCACGCCUAUCACCCAAGUUCUCCUCUCCCAUGUGAUCUGCUGAAGUUUCAGAUAGUUGAGAAGGGUCGUCUAUAAGCUUCUCAAUUGGCUGGUUUGACGUUGAUGCAUCCUCCUCUUCAUUACCAUCGCCAUCAUACGCUCCUUUUCUCCCUCGAACUGGCCCAUGUCUCGUCAUGCAGUGAUGCAAAGAUCGAACUCUCAGACCGCUUCUCCAAUUCCUUCCAUCAUUGAGCUCAGUGACAGCUCUUUCAGCAUCCUCUAGAGUCUCAUAUUCCACAAAUGCAUGCAGCCUAUUACCAAAAAGCAUAUCCAUCUUCAUUGACUUAUUGGUUGCAGUAGCUGUUACAUUUGGAGUUUGAGGAUAACAGGUACGAAUUGUCUUCACACGGCCAGCAGAAGAAAAGAUCCUUUUAAGGCUUUGGUA
rnacentral:misc_RNA from 1 species